CCUAAAUUGAAGCUACUAUUAGGACAACUAGAGUCUGACAAAUUAGGUUGACUCAGAGGUCCAUGCUCUGCCCAUGCCUGGCGACACAGAGAGUGGAGUGGGUGCUCGGAAAAUGCAGGUGAAAAGGAAGCGUCAUGAAGAAGACAUGAAGGAUUGGUAAAGCUUUGAUAAACUAUGGAACACCAUUCUAAGGAUAAAGGCAAGCAUCAUCAGUAAACUGGGAGGCAAGCCACACUGCUCACGCGUUUUGCAAUCCCUGGAUUUUGAGAUGUUAUUCAAUCCAGAAGGAGUGUGGUUACAGAAAGAACGUGCAACUUGGAAUGAGAAGAACCUGGAUUCCAAUCUUACUUCCUCCGUGAUCAGAAGAGAUGGUGGAUGAGAGUGAGUCCAGAGCAGUGCUUGUUGUAGAGACCCUGCAUGUACAGUAGCCCUGGCUUCGGCCUCAUACUUCUCCUCCUGUGUCCAUUCUGAGUGGCGUUGCUGAGGCUCCUAAUAUGCACCUGGAGUUUACUUAACUUGCUGAAGGUCUGGGCAGAAGGGCAGGACUCUGACCCGCGGCAAAGAUCCGCGAUGCCUGCAGCUGAACGGAGCUCGUGAAUCUGAUGUUUCCUCUGCAUUCUUGAGUUUUCUGCAUUAACCCCCACGUGGAAACACGGACCCACCCACUGGAGGACUGUGAAGAGAAGAUGUGAAGAGGUCUUAGCAGAGCAUCUGGUAUAUA